AUUGAACGCUGGCGGCAUGCCUUAUACAUGCAAGUCGAACGGACACAGGCCGCGAGUUCCCCACUAGCGGUGGACGGGGGCGUAAUACAACCGCAUGUGUAACCUCGCUGGGGGUAACUACUCGAAAGAGUAGCCAAUACCGCAUACGAUAUAAUGUAGUAAGCGGGGGACUGCAAUGCUUCGCGCCAUUUGUGCGGCCGCUGAUAGAUUAAUCAGUUCCUCAUUAGCUAGUUGGUAAGGUAACGGCUUACCAACUCAACGAUGUGUAGCAGAUCUGAGAGGGCGACCAGCCACACUGGGACUGAGACACGGUCCAGACUCCUACGGGAGGCAGCAGUAGGGAAUUUUGGGCAAUGGGCGCAAGCCUGAUCCAGCAAUGCCGCGUGCAGGAUGAAGGCCUUCGGAUUGUAAACUGCUUUUAUACGGGACGAAACAGCUCUUAUGAAAACCCGGGGCUAUUGACGGUACCGUAAGAGUAAGCACCGGCUAACUACGUG
rnacentral:rRNA from 1 species